GGAGAGAUGGCUGAGUGGUUGAAAGCGGCAAAUUGCUAAUUUGUUGUGUGUUUUUUACAUACCGAGGGUUCAAAUCCCUCUCUCUCCG
rnacentral:tRNA from 1 species